rnacentral:rRNA from 1 species
GACGAACGCUGGCGGCGUGCCUAAUACAUGCAAGUUGAGCGCUGAAGGUUGGUACUUGUACCAACUGGAUGAGCAGCGAACGGGUGAGUAACGCGUGGGGAAUCUGCCUUUGAGCGGGGGACAACAUUUGGAAACGAAUGCUAAUACCGCAUAAAAACUUUAAACACAAGUUUUAAGUUUGAAAGAUGCAAUUGCAUCACUCAAAGAUGAUCCCGCGUUGUAUUAGCUAGUUGGUGAGGUAAAGGCUCACCAAGGCGAUGAUACAUAGCCGACCUGAGAGGGUGAUCGGCCACAUUGGGACUGAGACACGGCCCAAACUCCUACGGGAGGCAGCAGUAGGGAAUCUUCGGCAAUGGACGAAAGUCUGAACGAGCAACGCCGCGUGAGUGAAGAAGGUUUUCGGAUCGUAAAACCCUGUUGGUAGAGAAGAACGUUGGUGAGAGUGGAAAGCUCAUCAAGUGACGGUAACUACCCAGAAAGGGACGGCUAACUACGUG